rnacentral:rRNA from 1 species
AACGAACGCUGGCGGCAUGCCUAACACAUGCAAGUCGAACGAGACCUUCGGGUCUAGUGGCGCACGGGUGCGUAACGCGUGGGAACCUGCCCUUAGGUUCGGAAUAACUCCCCGAAAGGGGUGCUAAUACCGGAUAAUGUCUUCGGACCAAAGAUUUAUGGCCUUUGGAUGGGGCCGCGUUGGAUUAGCUAGUUGGUAGGGUACAAGCCUACCAAGGCGACGAUCCAUAGCUGGUCUGAGAGGAUGAUCAGCCACACUGGGACUGAGACACGGCCCAGACUCGUACGCGAGGCAGCAGUGGGGAAUAUUGGACAAGGGGCGAAAGCCUGAUCCAGCAAUGCCGCGUGAGUGAUGAAGGCCUUAGGGUUGUAAAGCUCUUUUACCCGGGAUGAUAAUGACAGUACCGGGAGAAUAAGCUCCGGCUAACUCCGUG